rnacentral:pre_miRNA from 1 species
UAUUAACAAUUUCAUCCAUUUCAACUAUUAAAAAUUAACAUUGUUGAUAGAAUAUCCAGACAGUUACAAAUGGCAUGCCAUGUGUACCUCAUGUUGAUAUACAAGGACUAAUUACUAACAGAAAAAAUGAAUGAAAUUUUCAACA